rnacentral:lncRNA from 1 species
NNNNNNNNNNNNNNNNNNNNNNNNNNNNNNNNNNNNNNNNNNNNNNNNNNNNNNNNNNNNNNNNNNNNNNGGGCGGGGCGGGUGCCGCGCCGGCGGCGAGGGCAAAGGCGGCCGACAGCCGGGCCACCUCCUCCCUUCUUCCUCCUGCACGUGCGACGCUCUUCUGCCCGGACUGCGAGGGCUCGCGGACCGUUCCUCCUCACAGUCACCUCAGGGCCAACCGGCGCCGCGCCGGCUCAUUGUGUCCGCCAUCUUGGGACGACAGGCAGAAGCCGAGGGCGAGGAGCCUCACCGCGGCGCACGCCGGGAAAAGGGGCGGGAUGAAACGGCGGUGCGAGGCGGGGCGGCGGGGCGAUGACGUCAGCGCGGCCGCCCAGGAGUGAAGUGGCGGGGUGGCCCGAGGCGGCGAUUCCCUGGCCAGCAGUGGGACACGGAGGGCGGGCGUGUCCACAGGCUUUCUGGGUGGGCCCGAAGGCCCCUGGUGUCGGGGAGCCAUGGGCCUUUGUGCGGGAUCGCAGCACCCCUGAGAGGCUCCCCGCCUACCGCAGGCCUCGGGGAGCAGGUAUUGCGGGGGUCAGCUGCGCCACUGGAGGCCUGUUCCGGGGUCACAAUUAAAAUGCAAUAAAGAAGAAAGACUCCGGAAACUGCAUGAACUGAUGGACCGAAAAUCUGCCGUGCCACAGAGACCCAAGACUGAGGCAAAGAACUUCUCUUCGUGGAAGCUGCUUUCUGCUUUGUGCUCCUGCCUUGUAGUAGUGGUUAGUGCGUAAGCCUCUCCUGGGUUUGUGAACGCACAGCAAGAUAUUCUUCAGCUCUUGGUGCAUCUAGCAGGAUGAACGCCAGUGAGAACCAAUGUUUUCCAGAUGAUACGAUACCAAGAGUAGAUCAGGAUUCUAAGAUGCACCUGAAACCGAGUUGCAACAGGGUAAAGUGUGCAUAUCAGCCAGCGUAGGCUAGGUCGCGGCGCAGUAACAAAAUCCCCCACAUCUUAGUGACUUUUGUCUUGUUUUGUUUUCCCACAUCUUAGUGGCUCUAAGCAUCAAAGGUUUAUUUUCCACUUUCAAUACCCAUCCUUUGUAGGUUGGCAGGGUGGCUCUUCCCAUCAGUCACUCAGGACUUAGGUUGGCAAAGAAGCCACCAUCUUGAAUGUUGCUGGUUGCCAAGUCCAAGGGAAAAAUGCUCAGGAAGGCCUCACUUGGGCAGUUAACUGCCCCCAAAUGAAUCACACCGAUUCUACUUGCUACUCAUUGCCCAGAACUAGAUGAAUGAAACUUCUCAAGCACAAGGGGACCAGGGAGUGCUGGAGGGGGAGAGAACGGGACUUGGGUGGUAAAUAGCACUCGUAACCACCGCCCUGGUUUGAGGUUGGAGGACAGCAGGGUGGAUGUUGAUAGAGGAGCGGGUAGUUUAGGGGGCUGACUGCUGGCUCUGCUGCACUGACAGUAUGCACUAGCAUUCUAGACCUCCUCAGGCAUCUGAAACCUCAGAUGGCUGCAGUCACAGUUAAUCAGUUUCUCCCUCAAGCAGGACUUCCUUAUAGCAAAGUUCCAAGUCAGAAGGCCCAAGACUGAGCGCUGUUCUCAUUUGAAUUUGUACCAUUCACUACUCCAGUGAGCCUCCUGAGCUUGUGUGCAGGGGUGGGAGGGUGAUUUCAGAGUUAUAGGGACCAAGUACUUUAUCCACAUAGAACUCCUGAGAUGCAACACUGUUAGUGGAGAUGGGGGCCAUUAGUACCACCUUCCCAUGGUCACUGAUGACCUAACAUCACACGGGGGGGGGGGGACCUCCUCCUUUGCUCUAAAUGGGAACAUUUAAGUUAAAGCUUAAUCCAAAUCAAUAAAUUUAGUAAACCCUCUCUCAAAAGCGUAUGAGUACUGUACCCCAGGACAUUGCCUUCUCUCUUUUGGCUUGCUUGAAUAAUGGGGAAGGCUUAUACUUGACUUAAGUGAUUUUUUUUUUUAAAGUAAGUUCUAUACCCUGUGUGGGGCUUGAACUCACAACCCCAGGAUCAAAAGUCAUGUGCUCUAUUGAAUAAGCCAGCCAGGCGCCCCUUAAGUGGUCUUUUCAAUAGGUUUUUUUUUUUUUUAAAUGCUUUCUUAGGUAUAGUCUUUAUUUUUUUUUUAAAGAUUUUAUUUAUUUAUUUGAUAGAGAUCACAAGUAGGCAGAGAGGCAGGCAAAGAGAGAGAGAGAGAAGAGGAAGCAGGCUCCCUGUUAAUCAGAGAGCCUGAUGCGGGGCUUGAUCCCAGGAUUCUGGGAUUAUGACCUGAGCUGAAGGCAGAGGCUUUAACCCACUGAGCCACUGUAGUGAGUAUGAACCUUUAAUAAAUAAAAUGUAAUAAAUAAUGAAUAAAUAAAUAAAUAAAUAAAUAAUAUGUAGUAGGUGCGAACCCCUACUAAAUGUAAACAGGCAAAAGGAACAAAAUACAAACUAACCACAUAGUGAUAAGAUUAGUGCGGAGUAACAAGUUGUAAAUAUUUUGACUUGUGCGAAAUAUCGUAAACCAAGACAUGUUUACGCUGUGUUUAUGUUUUUGGUGUGUAAGCAUAAGAAAAACAAGUGAUGUGAUGUGUUUAUGAAGGAGACUUAGCGCAGUAUAUAAAGAGGCAUCAGCUUGGACUGAGGCGAAGCGAGUUCCCUGUCGGGAGAACAUCAUCGCCGGUGCUACCGACACCCCGACAGUUUCGUCACCAACCACUCGCUGGUCCUCAGUCUCAACUUCUGCGGUGACCUCUCUGUCUAGAUUGUGAGGCGACGUCUCCUUCUCCGUGACAACGUCAGCGGACCGUGACCGGGCCACGAUAGUGGUGCGGACCUNNNNNNNNNNNNNNNNNNNNNNNNNNNNNNNNNNNN